UACGUAGGUGGCAAGCGUUGUCCGGAAUUAUUGGGCGUAAAGCGCGCGCAGGUGGUUUCUUAAGUCUGAUGUGAAAGCCCACGGCUCAACCGUGGAGGGUCAUUGGAAACUGGGGAACUUGAGUGCAGGAGAGAAGAGUGGAAUUCCACGUGUAGCGGUGAAAUGCGUAGAGAUGUGGAGGAACACCAGUGGCGAAGGCGACUCUUUGGCCUGUAACUGACACUGAGGCGCGAAGGCCAGGGGAGCAAACGGG
rnacentral:rRNA from 1 species